rnacentral:rRNA from 1 species
UACGAAGGGGGCUAGCGUUGCUCGGAAUCACUGGGCGUAAAGGGCGCGUAGGCGGCCGGCCAAAUCGGGGGUGAAAGCCUGUGGCUCAACCACAGAAUGGCCCUCGAUACUGGACGGCUCGAGACCGGAAGAGGUUGGUGGAAUUGCGAGUGUAGAGGUGAAAUUCGUAGAUAUUCGCAAGAACACCGGUGGCGAAGGCGGAUCUCUGGGCCUGAUCUGACGCUGAGGCGCGAAAGCUAGGGGAGCGAACAGG